UACGUAGGGUGCGAGCGUUAAUCGGAAUUACUGGGCGUAAAGCGUGCGCAGGCGGUUUGUUAAGUCUGUUGUGAAAUCCCCGAGCUCAACUUGGGAAUUGCAAUGGAUACUGGCAGGCUGGAGUAUGGUAGAGGAAGGUGGAAUUCCUGGUGUAGCGGUGAAAUGCGCAGAUAUCAGGAGGAACACCGGUGGCGAAGGCGGGACUCUGGGCCGAUACUGACGCUGAGGAGCGAAAGCGUGGGGAGCGAACAGG
rnacentral:rRNA from 1 species